rnacentral:rRNA from 1 species
CCUACGGGUGGCAGCAGUGAGGAAUAUUGGUCAAUGGGCGCGAGCCUGAACCAGCCAAGUAGCGUGAAGGAUGACUGCCCUACGGGUUGUAAACUUCUUUUAUAAAGGAAUAAAGUGAGGCACGUGUGCCUCUUUGUAUGUACUUUAUGAAUAAGGAUCGGCUAACUCCGUGCCAGCAGCCGCGGUAAUACGGAGGAUCCGAGCGUUAUCCGGAUUUAUUGGGUUUAAAGGGUGCGUCAGUGGGUUGUUAAGUCAGUUGUGAAAGUUUGCGGCUCAACCGUAAAAUUGCAAUUGAUACUGGGAGUCUUGAGUACAGUUGAGGUAGGCGGAAUGCGUGGUGUAGCGGUGAAAUGCAUAGAUAUCACGAAGAACUCCGAUUGCGAAGGCAGCUUACUAAACUGCCACUGACAUUGAUGCUCGAAAGUGUGGGUAUCAAACAGGAUUAGAUACCCUGGUAGUC